GACUAUACUUCAGAGUUUGAUCCGUGGCGUCAGGACGAACGCUGGCGGCGUGCUUAACACAUGCAAGUUGAACGAGAAUUUUUUAAUUAAUUUCUUCGGAAAGAGAUUAAAGAAGGAAAGUAGCGAACGGGUGAGUAACACGUGAGAAACCUGCCUUUCACAAAGGGAUAGCCUCGGAAACCGGGAUUAAUACCUUAUGACACUUAGAUAUCGCAUGAUAAUUAAGUUAAAGAAUUUCGGUGAAAGAUGGUCUCGCGUCUGAUUAGCUAGUUGGUAAGGUAACGGCUUACCAAGGCGACGAUCAGUAGCCGGAUUGAGAGGUUGAACGGCCACACUGGAACUGAGACACGGUCCAG
rnacentral:rRNA from 1 species